AGACCUUUAGUUUGAACCCCGAAACCAGGUGAGCUACCCCGAGACAGCCUAUAUUGAUUUAGGGCUAACCCGUCUCUGUGGCAAAAGAGUGGGAAGAGCUCCGGGUAGAAGUGACAGACCUACCGAACCUGGUGAUAGCUGGUUGCCUGAGAAGUGGAUAGAAGUUCAGCCUCGCACACCCCAAGCCAGAGAAUACACCGCUAAGGCACUCAGGGAAAUGUGGGAGAGUUAGUUAAAGGGGGUACAGCCCCUUUAACAAAGGAUACAACCUUUGCAGGAGGAUAAAGAUCAUAAUAUAUAAAACAUGCUGCUCUAGUGGGCCUAAAGGCAGCCACCUAAACAGAAAGCGUUAAAGCUCAGGCAGAAAGAAGUUUAUUAUACCGAUAAAAAAUCUUACUCCCCUAAUUAUAUCAGGCCAGCCCAUGCCAACAUGGAAGAGAUUAUGCUAAAAUGAGUAACAAGAAGACCUGCUCUUCUCCCAGCACAAGUGUAAGCCAGAUCGGACUAACCACUGGAACUUAACGAACCCAACCCAAGAGGGUAGUGUGAAUAGUACAGACCCCAAGAAGAACUCACAACUAAACAAUCGUUAACCCCACACUGGAGUGCUAUUAUAAAGGAAAGACUAAAAGAGGGGGAAGGAACUCGGCAAACACAAGCCUCGCCUGUUUACCAAAAACAUCGCCUCCUGCAACUAUAUUGAGUAUAGGAGGUCCAGCCUGCCCAGUGACUACGGGUUCAACGGCCGCGGUAUUUUGACCGUGCAAAGGUAGCGCAAUCACUUGUCUCUUAAAUAGAGACCUGUAUGAAUGGCUAGACGAGGGCUUAACUGUCUCCCCCCUCCAGUCAGUGAAAUUGAUCUAUCCGUGCAGAAGCGGGUAUAAUUAUACAAGACGAGAAGACCCUUUGGAGCUUAAGGUACAAAAUCCAACCACGUUAAACGACCCCCUAAAGGGCAAGAACUUAGUGGCCAAUGAAGUUUUACCUUCGGUUGGGGCGACCACGGAGGAGAAAAAAGCCUCCGAGUGGACUGGGUUAAAACCCAAAGCUAAGAGAUACAUCUCUAAGCCGCAGAACAUCUGACCAAAAGUGAUCCGGCUAAAAAGCCGAUCAACGAACCAAGUUACCCUAGGGAUAACAGCGCAAUCCUCUCCCAGAGUCCAUAUCGACGAGGGGGUUUACGACCUCGAUGUUGGAUCAGGACAUCCUAAUGGUGCAGCCGCUAUUAAGGGU
rnacentral:rRNA from 1 species